rnacentral:rRNA from 1 species
GAACUUAAGCAUAUCAAUAAGCGGAGGAAAAGAAACCAACAGGGAUUACCUCAGUAACGGCGAGUGAAGCGGUAACAGCUCAAAUUUGAAAUCUGGCUCUUUUAGAGUCCGAGUUGUAAUUUGUAGAAGAUGCUUUGGAUGUGGCUCCGGUCUAAGUUCCUUGGAACAGGACGUCAUAGAGGGUGAGAAUCCCGUAUGUGAUCGGCUGCCUUCGCCCGUGUAAAGCUCUUUCGACGAGUCGAGUUGUUUGGGAAUGCAGCUCAAAAUGGGUGGUAUAUUUCAUCUAAAGCUAAAUAUUGGCCAGAGACCGAUAGCGCACAAGUAGAGUGAUCGAAAGAUGAAAAGCACUUUGGAAAGAGAGUUAAACAGUACGUGAAAUUGUUGAAAGGGAAGCGCUUGCAACCAGACUCGCCCGCCGUCGAUCAUCCGGGGUUCUCCCCGGUGCACUCGGCGGUGUUCGGGCCAGCAUCAGUUUCGGUGGUGGGAUAAAGGCCUUGGGAAUGUGACUUCUUUCGGGGAGUGUUAUAGCCCUCGGUGCAAUGCCGCCUACUGGGACUGAGGACCGCGCUUCGGCUAGGAUGCUGGCGUAAUGGUUGUAAGCGACCCGUCUUGAAACACGGACCAAGGAGUCUAACAUCUAUGCGAGUGUUUGGGUGUCAAACCCAUACGCGUAAUUAACGUGAACGGAGGUGAGAACCCUUUAGGGUGCAUCAUCGACCGAUCCUGAUGUCUUCGGAUGGAUUUGAGUAAGAGCAUAGCUGUUGGGACCCGAAA